rnacentral:lncRNA from 1 species
AGUUGCUGAGGCUGAACUCAAACUUGUGAUCCCUCCUGCCUCAGCCUUCUGAGUAGCUGGGAUUUCAGGCACAUGUCAUCAUGUUCAGCUCAGUUAAUAUCUGUUGCAAGCUUACUACCUGCCAGAGAUUUUCCUGAGAGUUUUACCUAUACAGAUAGUCCCCAAACUAGAAUGUUUCAACUUGCAAUGGUGUACAAAUGACAACCAUUCAGUAUAAACAUAAUCUGACUUUUGGGAUUGUUUUG